GGAUAGCUUGCAUCAACAUUUUCCGCCAGCUAAACACAAAUUGCUGCAUUUCAGACAAAUCGGAACUUUACUUGUUCUACAUGGGGCAGUUAGUGGCAAUGAUGAUUAGUGCGUUAAAUUAAAUACAAUAACUCUACAAUCUAGAAUAUAGACUAUAUCGUUCUGUGAAUUGAUAUUGAGAGUUCCCGAGAGGAAUUUCUCAUAACUGCUUUAAAAGCUUUGGCGCCUGUCUAACAGCAAACGUUGUAUCGCUGUGUCUUCCCAUCAGACUAUCGGCUUCUUUUAUAUACAGAAACUUAUUUUCGGUAGAUUUUGCUAUAGAUGGAAUAAUUGAACAUAUCAGAAUAUUUUACGCUUUUUUAACCGAUGUUUUAAGGAAGAGAAGUGCGACCCUAUGUCAAGUCCGGGACGCACAUAACAAAUUACUAACAAGUUUUAAUUGUUAUUUAUUUGAAUAAGAUUUUUGAAAUGUCCUACAGGAUGCUAAAACAAUUCCAGACACUCCUUCUUUAAUAAUAAUGUCUUUCAUUUCGCUUUUGACUAGUUUUGUGAAGGAGAGCUAAAGGCCGUAAGGAAAACUUUUGCGGCGUCUUUCUUUGAUGUUAUUGUUCAAGUUAUAGUUUAAUAGGACUCCUUUCAUCCUACAAUAUUAGUAAUUGUGUUGCGUUCAAUAAGUACACAUUGCUUGGAAGUCAUUUCUUUCAACUUUGUUUUGGCAUUUGCAAAAAAGUAUCAAAAAGUGUUUUGAAGAAGAAAACGAAUCAAAAUUGGGAGGUCUAAUAUAAUCGAAGAUUAUAUUUCCUGCGAUAUAUAGACCAACAAAAAAGAAUUAUUACCUUGGACAUGUUAUUACUGAACACUCAAAUCUCAAGUCGAAAAAGAAUGUCCAAAGAAAAAUCUCCAGACAUACAGCCAGAUGUUGAACUUGAAGCGCUUGUCAACAAUCAUCUUUCAAUUACGGAAGCUGCUAGAACUUUGGGUGUUAUCGGAGAUGAUCUUCAGCGCAGUUAUAGGUUGGAAACUCGAAAAAAUUACCUACAAGAAGCGGCUUUCGGUUGUGUUAUACUGGUUGGAGUCUACGCUAUGUACAAAUACUGGAAUAAAUAGAUUACUGCCUCAACAACUAGUUUUAAAGAAAAAUGAAACGCCGUCUCUGUUGAAAAUAUAAUGGUAAGCAAAAGAGCUUUUGUCGUUGUUUAAAGCCUACGCUACACCAGCUAAAAAUGCAUUCGAGUAUCGUCAAAUUCGAGAAUUUUUAAAGUUCUAAUUAUUAUGAUUCCAUGGUCAGUGCGGAUCGAUAUUUUAUGAUGUGAUUGUUUUAGAAUCGCUUCAACGUAAUGUAUAUGCAAUGUACCUGCAUUUCUUAGGAAGUGUGGCCAUUCUUGAGUUUUAUUUUAUACUUUUUUGCUUUGUUUUUAUUUUUUAAGAAUCUUUAUGUUCGGUGAAACCGUUUUUAGUGUUGUAUUCCUUGUAUUAAAGGUUUUUAAAAGUGAACUUUAUGUAUACAUAGAUGUUUUAUGCAUAGCAUGAAUUAUAUUUUUUAGUUAUUUUUGUGUAUUUCUGUUGAUUUUUUUUUAAACUCAAGUUCGUUAUGCGUUUAGAAUUUCAGCCAAAGUACGCAUUUAUAAUUUCCACCAUACAUGCAUACAUAACUUGAAGCAAAAUUUUUAUUCACAUUUUUAUGGUAAGUGCGUUUUGCGAAGUCACUUUGAAUCAAUUCGAGAAUAUCUAUACACAUUUAUAAUUUUCCAUGGACCCGAUGUAAUGAUUCCCGAAAAAAACAAAAACUAGAAAAUUUUGUAACGAGUUUUCACUUGAUUUUUACUUGUUGUCCUGUUUUAUAUCUGUCAAAAAGCGAUGAUUCAUCGUCAGAUUGUCAAUCAACUCUCCCCCACAAUUAUCUUGUAUAUCAAGUAAUAACAACCUGCAUUCGCAAAUCACAUCUACGAAGAAAAUCUUUUUAUUUUUAUUUAACCAAUUGUUGAAGAAUUGAUUUUUUUAUUGUAAUUACGUAACAUAUAUAUUUUUAAAUUGGUCUAUGAAUUUGCAACUUCUUUUUUGGAUAGCCUUCAAUAAUUACUCCGAAAAAAUAUUUGAUCAGAGGACUCAGAAAACCUAGUUGCUAAUAUACUAUAUAUAAUUUUUUUUCACCUAGGUAUAUAUAUGUACGGAAAUUUAGGAUGUAAAGCAUCAUACCAAUUUAUCAAGUCUCUUAUGAAAUGUUUUUGAAAGCAAGGGCAAGAAUGGGAAAUACCUAUCAACGAGAAAAAAAAUUUUUAAACCAGUGCAUAUUAAAUAUUUUUCAUUCUUUUCUUGUUUUGCCUUUCCUCUCGUGAUUUUGAUGUUGCUAUGAGAAGCGUGAUAGAAAGUAGACUUGAGGCGCCAGACGUUUUUCUUAACGAGAUCAUAAAAAACAAAGCGCGGGGUAAAUAAUUAAUGGAACUUUGCAAGUUGAGAAAUAAAUCUGCGUUUAAGAUACAGAAAAUGAAUGUCGUACGUGCUUAAGCCUCUUUAAUGUUUAUGUUGACGGUGUCUCCAAGCUCUACGACAUAUUCACUACUAAAAUAUCCUUAUCAUCUUUUCUUUAAAAAAACGUUCAUAUUAGAGUUUCAUCUGUGUAAUCGACAAAGAAUUUGUUAAAAGAUUGUGUCUCUGUUUCCGUCACAAACCUCUAUUUCGCGUUUACCAUUUAAAAUCUCGAUUCGCUCAAACACCAAUUUCUACCAACUUUUGUUUAUAGUGUAUACAUAGCUAUAAAUAUAUAAAUAAUGUAUAUAAAGGGUAUAUAUAAAAUUGUAAGAAACGUAUAUUUGUUGAGUAUUGUAUUAUAUGUGUGUUAUAUGGUCUUGUACAGAAGAAUAUCGUAUUUGUAUAUACUGUAUUAUAGAGUAUAAGAAAUCAGUUUGUUUAAA